rnacentral:rRNA from 1 species
UGUGGUGGCGAUAGCGAGAAGGAUACACCUGUAACCAUGCCGAACACAGAAGUUAAGCUUCUUAGCGCCGAUUGUAGUGAGGGGUUGC